GGCUCGUUGUUCUAGGGUAUGAUUCUCGCUUUGGGUGCGAGAGGUCCCGGGUUCAAAUCCUGGACGAGCCC
rnacentral:tRNA from 1 species